rnacentral:rRNA from 1 species
UACGGGGGGGCAAGCGUUGUUCGGAAUUACUGGGCGUAAAGGGCUCGUAGGCGGCCAACUAAGUCAGACGUGAAAUCCCUCGGCUUAACCGGGGAACUGCGUCUGAUACUGGAUGGCUUGAGUUUGGGAGAGGGAUGCGGAAUUCCAGGUGUAGAGGUGAAAUUCGUAGAUAUUCGCAAGAACACCAGUGGCGAAGGCGGCUCACUGGCCCGGUACUGACGCUGAGGCACGAAAGCGUGGGGAGCAAACAGG